AGGUUUUUUUUUAUAAUUUUACCAUUUUUUCUCUUUUUUUUUCUCAGAUCUGCUAGUUCUACCAAUUGUUUUUUGAAUUCUUGUUAUAGUGAUUUUUUUUCUAAUUAAUUAGAUAUAUUUUAUUGGUUUGUUUUGAUUAUGCUUGGAUUUUUUUAUGUUAUGUUUUUAGCAGAGCCACCAAAAUUAUCAAUUUUUUCUUACG
rnacentral:lncRNA from 1 species